UGGUUCUGGCAUCGAUGAAGAACGCAGCGAAAUGCGAUAAGUAAUGCGAAUUGCAGAAUUCCGUGAGUCAUCGAAUCUUUGAACGCACAUUGCGCCCUUUGGCAUUCCGAAGGGCAUGCCUGUUCGAGCGUCAUUAUCAACCCUCAAGUUCGGCUUGGUGUUGGGCGCGGUGGUCAAUCACCCGCCCCAAAGACAAUGACGGCGUCCGCAAGACCCCCGGUACAAUGAGCUUUUCACUAGGCACGUACUGUGGCGGGCUCGGGGACCCGGUCGGCCUAUUUAUUUCUCAGGUUGACCUCGGAUCAGGUAGGGAUACCCGCUGA
rnacentral:misc_RNA from 1 species